GCUGAGCCAGGUCAUCCCCAUGAUCCA
rnacentral:piRNA from 1 species